rnacentral:lncRNA from 1 species
UGCAGAUUAUCAGAAAUGAGCUUGGUUGCUGUUUGGCCAACAAUUCUUCUAGCAGCCCUGUCUAGAAGAACGAAAUUCAAUGCUUCUGUUUCAUCCCCAGCAAGAACCACAAUUUUGUACCUUGAACAUAAAUUUAUAGAAUAGAGAAGGAUUAACAUAAACUGGAGAUUCAUGAAGUCUAUAGAUAAGAUUUGUCAAGCAGUAGAUAGUAAUUUUAGACUAUAAAAGGCCAAACCUUUUUUCUGCCACUGGACUAUUGGAACCACAGAUGCAUUUGUAUCUUCCUUCCUCUUUAGAAACUUCUUCUGCGCAUCCUAUGCAGCUUAUAUACCACCAACUUCCACUUUCUUCGACAUUUGUAAUUUUAACAACACACAUA